rnacentral:rRNA from 1 species
AACGAACGCUGGCGGCAGGCCUAACACAUGCAAGUCGAGCGAGACCUUCGGGUUUAGCGGCGGACGGGUGAGUAACGCGUGGGAACGUGCCCUUUUCUGCGGGAUAGCCACUGGAAACGGUGAGUAAUACCGCAUACGCCCUUUGGGGGAAAGAUUUAUCGGAGAAGGAUCGGCCCGCGUCUGAUUAGGUAGUUGGUGGGGUAAUGGCCUACCAAGCCUACGAUCAGUAGCUGGUUUUAGAGGAUGAUCAGCCACACUGGGACUGAGACACGGCCCAGACUCCUACGGGAGGCAGCAGUGGGGAAUCUUAGACAAUGGGCGCAAGCCUGAUCUAGCCAUGCCGCGUGAGUGAUGAAGGCCUUAGGGUCGUAAAGCUCUUUCGCCAGGGAUGAUAAUGACAGUACCUGGUAAAGAAACCCCGGCUAACUCCGUGCCAGCCGCCGCGGUAAU